rnacentral:tRNA from 1 species
UCCAUUGUAGUCUAGUUGGUUAGGAUACUUGGCUCUCACCUGAGAGACCAGGGUUCAAGUCCCAACAAAGAAA